rnacentral:piRNA from 1 species
GGCCUGGUCACAUGGCACCUAGUCAGCAGGGC